rnacentral:rRNA from 1 species
GACGAACGCUGGCGGCGUGCUUAACACAUGCAAGUCGAGCGGAAAGGCCCUUCGGGGUACUCCAGCGGCGAACGGGUCAGUAACACGUGAGUAACCUGCCCCAAACAUUGGGAUAACCCUCUGCAACGGGGGCUAAUACCGGAUACACCACAGCUUCGCAUCGGUUCUGUGUGGCAAGUUUUUCGUAUUGGGAUGGGCUCGUGGCCUAUCACCUUGUUGGUGUGGUGAUGGCCUACGAAGGCGACGACGGGCAGCCCGCCUGAGAGGGCGACCCGCCACACUGGGACUGAGACACGGACAAGACUCAGACUGGAGGGAGCAGUGGGGAAGAGUGAACAAUGGGCGGAAGCCUGAGCCAGCGACGGCGCGGGCGGGAUAGCGACCUACGGGUUGGAGACCUCUUUCUGCAGGGACGAAGCGGAAGAGACGAUACCUGCAGGAGUAGGGCCGGCCAACCACGUG